rnacentral:rRNA from 1 species
UACAGAGGUCCCAAGCGUUGUUCGGAUUCACUGGGCGUAAAGGGUGCGUAGGCGGUCAGGUAAGUCUGAUGUGAAAUCUCUGGGCUUAACCCAGAAAUGGCAUUGGAUACUAUUUGGCUUGAGAGUUGGAGGGGGGACUGGAAUUCUUGGUGUAGCAGUGAAAUGCGUAGAUAUCAAGAGGAACACCAGUGGCGAAGGCGAGUCUCUGGACGACUCCUGACACUGAGGCACGAAAGCUAGGGGAGCAAACAGG